GUGAGGAAUAUUGCGCAAUGGAGGCAACUCUGACGCAGCCAUGCUGCGUGCAGGAAGAAGGCGCUACGCGUUGUAAACUGCUUUUAACCGGGAAGAAACCCCAGGACGUGUCCUGGGUUGACGGUACCGGAGGAAUAAGCACCGGCUAACUUCGUACCAGCAGCCGCGGUAAUACGAAGGGUGCAAGCGUUAUCCGGAUUCAUUGGGUUUAAAGGGUGCGUAGGCGGAGCGUUAAGUCAGUGGUGAAAUCCUGCAGCUUAACUGUAGACUUGCCAUUGAUACUGGCGCUCUUGAGUGCGCUUGAAGUGGGCGGAAUGUGCCGUGUAGCGGUGAAAUGCUUAGAUAUGGCACAGAACACCAAUUGCGAAGGCAGCUCACUAAGGCGAUACUGACGCUGAGGCACGAAAGCGUGGGGAUCGAACAGGAUUAGAAACCCGGGUAGUCC
rnacentral:rRNA from 1 species